AGCAGCCGCGGUAAUUCCAGCUCCAAUAGCGUAUAUUAAAGUUGUUGCAGUUAAAAAGCUCGUAGUUGAGUUUCGGGGUCAGUAGGUUGGUCAUGCCACUGGUAUGUACUGGUCUCACUGAUUCCUCCUUCCUGAUGAACUGUAAUGCCAUUAAUUUGGUGUUGCAGGGAAUCUGGACUGUUACUUUGAAAAAUUAGAGUGUUUAAAGCAGGCUAACGCCUGAAUACAUUAGCAUGGAAUAAUGAAAUAGGACGUUCGAUCCUAUUUUGUUGGUUUCUAGGAUUGACGUAAUGAUUAAUAGGGAUAGUUGGGGGCAUUAGUAUUCAAUUGUCAGAGGUGAAAUUCUUGGAUUUAUUGAAGACUAACUACUGCGAAAGCAUUUGCCAAGGAUGUUUUCAUUAAUCAAGAACGAAAGUUAGGGGAUCGAAGACGAUCAGAUACCGUCGUAGUCUUAACCAUAAACUAUGCCGACUAGGGAUCGGAUGAUGUUAAUUUUUAAUGUACUCAUUC
rnacentral:rRNA from 1 species